AUGAGUGAAAGUUGGUUAAAGAUAAGAUUAAUGAUAUAUCAAGUUACAAGCUCCCACACAAGUGUAUAGAAACAAUCCCAGGUGGAAUUUGGGUCAGUUAAGAUUUAUAUAUGCAGGCAAACAUCAGGUCAGAUGCAAAGAAAUAGUUCUUGCCUUUUCUCUUCAUUAAUUGAAAAAAAAGAAGUGUUUAUAAAAAGGAUGUUUUUACAAUAGCUUUUCAACUAAAGGACUUGACACCUUCUUUAACUGACCAAGAAAGUGUAUGUGUGGAAUCAAUUUAUCUGUGUAUAGUAAUACCAAAUUUUGAAAUCUGGCAUUUGAUGAGUCAGCCAGGGAGAAAAUGGAAACACAUUGUGAGAGGUUCCUUCUGUGAAAAAAGUGCAACUUUGUGACAUGAUAUGCCUUCCUGACUGUACUAUAUACCUGAGCAGCAUACAGCUUAUUACUGCAUAAAAGAAACAUAUCAAAAUAAUUUUGAAUCAGAUUGUGUGCUGGAAAAAUGGCCUUACAUCCAAAGGAGUAAAAUUUGGAGAGUCAUUUGCCAUCUACUUAAGCCAUCCUGGAAUAUGAAGAAAUAAGACUGCAUUGACAACAUCCUGAUCCUCGUGUUCAGAUCUUUUGUGAUUUCUUGUGAAGGAUCUUUGAUUUUUCAUAAAAAUAAAAAAUAU